UGCCGAAGUUUUCCUCGAUAGUUAACUGCAGCCGGUUCCAUAAUUCGGCAGUUAACUGCUGACAGUGGCGG
rfam:Medicago truncatula strain A17 chromosome 1, whole genome shotgun sequence.